GCAAGUCGAGGGGUAACAGGGAUUGCUUGCACUCCGCUGACGAUCGGCGAACGGGAGCGUACCGCGUCUGCAACCUACCUUUUACUGGGGGAUAGUCAAGAGAAAUUUUGAAUAAUACCCCAUACGAUCAUUUAUUUGCAUAAAUAGAUGAAGAAAACUCCGGUGGUAAAAGAUGGGCAUGCGUCCGAUUAGUUUGUUGGUGAGGUAACGGCUCACCAAGACUACGAUAGGUAGGGGGCCUGAGAGGGAGACC
rnacentral:rRNA from 1 species